rnacentral:rRNA from 1 species
UACGGAGGAUGCAAGCGUUAUCCGGAUUUAUUGGGUUUAAAGGGUGCGUAGGCGGUAUUACAAGUCAGGGGUGAAAUCUUGGUGCUUAACAUUAAAAUUGCCUUUGAAACUGUGGUACUUGAGUGUAAAAGAGGUAGGCGGAAUGUGUUGUGUAGCGGUGAAAUGCAUAGAUAUAACACAGAACACCGAUUGCGAAGGCAGCUUACUAUCAUACAACUGACGCUGAUGCACGAAAGCGUGGGGAGCAAACAGG